GAUGAACGCUGGCGGCGUGCUUAACACAUGCAAGUCGAACGAUGAAAGCGGGAGCUUGCUCCUGCUGGAUUAGUGGCGAACGGGUGGGUAACACGUGAGCAAUCUGCCCCGAACUCUGGGAUAAGCGUUGGAAACGACGUCUAAUACCGGAUACGACGCGCGAAGGCAUCUUCUGCGCGUGGAAAGAAUUUCGGUUCGGGAUGAGCUCGCGGCCUAUCAGCUAGUUGGUGAGGUAACGACUCACCAAGGCGACGACGGGUAGCCGGCCUGAGAGGGUGACCGGCCACACUGGGACUGAGACACGGCCCAGACUCCUACGGGAGGCAGCAGUGGGGAAUAUUGCGCAAUGGGCGAAAGCCUGAUGCAGCAACGCCGCGUGAGGGACGACGGCCUUCGGGUUGUAAACCUCUUUUAGUAGGGAAGAAGCGAAAGUGACGGUACCUGCAGAAAAAGCACCGGCUAACUACGUGCCAGCCGCCGCUGUAACAC
rnacentral:rRNA from 1 species